rnacentral:ncRNA from 2 species
UUUUGCCGAUGGGGGUGCUUCGCUUGAGCCGAAGCUGAGAUCACACCCUUGGAACGUGAAGCAGUUCGCACUGCCGUACGGAAUCUGGCGCAAUACAAA